rnacentral:rRNA from 1 species
UGCCAGCCGCCGCGGUAAUACAGAGGGUGCAAACGUUGUUCGGAAUCACUGGGCAUAAAGCGCACGUAGGCGGCCUGCUAAGUGUGGAGUGAAAGCCCACGGCUCAACCGUGGAACUGCUCUGCAUACUGGCAAGCUCGAGGACGGUAGGGGAUAGCGGAACUCUUGGUGGAGCGGUGAAAUGCGUAGAUAUCAAGAGGAACACCGAUGGCGAAGGCAGCUAUCUGGUCCGUUUCUGACGCUGAGGUGCGAAAGCUAGGGUAGCGAACGGGAUUAGAUA